UCUUCUGGUUGACCUCCAGCAGGUGAAGCUGCACAUAAACUGCCUCAAUGAGACGUGGGCUCGGUGGACCCUGGAUCUCAAAGAGGCCUGCCCCAGUCUGGAGAAAAUCAUGCUGUCUGCUGGUCGCAAUGUUGUGGAUUAUAAUAGGAGUGGCUGGAUUGAGUGUGGCCCAUUAGAGACAAGGGGAAUUGGCAUCCUGAAGAACGCACACAAAAACUGCAUUAUCAAACUGAGAGGGAUCAAAACCCCAGCACCCCAGGGAGUUUACCAGGGCCGACCUGUGAAUAUUACAAUCAGUGGGGUAGAUUGCAAAGAGGACUAUUUCUAGUUUGAACAUGGAAGAGUGUUUCGAGGACCAGAAAGGUGCUAAUUAAUUGAACACAGAGUGCGUUUAGAGCAACACCAUGCAACCAUUUGCCACUUUGUGAUGGUAUAUGGUCACAUGACGACAGUUCAACACAUUCCACCAGCAACCCAGGAUUUGCACUAUGUAGUACUGUAAUACCCCGUGGAAAUUAAGGAAAAGCUUUCACGGCAAGACAUUUUCUACUGUGUUGCCAGGAGACGCCAGUUAGCGUUUUUGCAAGCUGUUAUCAGUGGCAGUCCAUAAUUUUUUUUAAAGAAAAUGUUCACCACACAUUAAUGACAAACAAAAGAUACUUAAAUUAGCUUUAUUCAAUGUACAGCACUUUUUCUUUAUUCCGGAUUAAUCCAUCUAAUAGUUUAUUGAUGACAGGGACUGGAACUCAGGUAAUGGGGACUCGAGACUUGACUCGAAAACUGGUGACUCGAGAUUUGACUGGGACUCAAGUAGGGCUGGGCCGUAUGACGGUAUAUACCGUGCAACGGUAGAAAUGUGUCUAC